rnacentral:rRNA from 1 species
AUUGAACGCUGGCGGCAGGCUUAACACAUGCAAGUCGAGCGGAGAUGAGGUGCUUGCACCUUAUCUUAGCGGCGGACGGGUGAGUAAUGCUUAGGAAUCUGCCUAUUAGUGGGGGACAACAUUCCGAAAGGAAUGCUAAUACCGCAUACGUCCUACGGGAGAAAGCAGAGGAUCUUCGGACCUUGCGCUAAUAGAUGAGCCUAAGUCGGAUUAGCUAGUUGGUGGGGUAAAGGCCUACCAAGGCGACGAUCUGUAGCGGGUCUGAGAGGAUGAUCCGCCACACUGGGACUGAGACACGGCCCAGACUCCUACGGGAGGCAGCAGUGGGGAAUAUUGGACAAUGGGGGGAACCCUGAUCCAGCCAUGCCGCGUGUGUGAAGAAGGCCAUAUGGUUGUAAAGCACUUUAAGCGAGGAGGAGGCUACUGAGACUAAUACUCUUGGAUAGUGGACGUUACUCGCAGAAUAAGCACCGGCUAACUCUGUGCCAGCCGCCGCGGUAA